UCUUUAGUUCCAUUGCUGACUGUUUGAUUGCGUGAUUAUACGAGCUCUGAGUCAUUCUCAGGAACAAGCUUAAUCUAUAUACACCACCCAUACAGCUUGAUUGCAGUUGCAUCGGCGACUCAUUUUAAAGUAAUGUGUUGAGUUUGUGUUCCUGAUACGACACUGAAUAACAGAAUAUAUUGGAUAACACUGCCAAUAAUGCACAACUGUGAAAUGUCGCGGCUCAGCUUGAAGCUUGCAUUGCAACUACUUGCAUUGUAACUAUUGCUGAUGAUGGUGCACACCGAGAUCAUUGAUCAAAGCAUUGAUGAGCCCGAGGGACUCAAUGUCUGCAAAAACGCGAAAACUACAAUGUGAAGGUGGUCAUUACUGAACUCCAGUCAUUCCAGGAGCGUGGUUCCACGUGGUGCCUCAAUAUUCCGCCUAGCUGUCCCACCUACCGCAUAAAACAUCGUGUGGUGAACAAAACUCAGACUUUAACCAAAGCUCGCAUAGUGCGUGACUGUUGUGAUGGAUACGUACGCCAGGGUAACCAGUGUGUUCCUCAUUGUAGUCAGCCCUGCCAACAUGGUGAAUGUGUAGCUCCAGAGAAGUGCAAGUGCACAGAAGGCUAUGAAGGACCUGUCUGCAAUAUAACUUGGGCUAGCACAC